GCCAAUUCUGAAACUGCCUUUAAUUCUGCUGUUUACAAGAGCCUCAAAAACUUGUCUCUGCAGAAGGCAUGCAAAGAUUAUUAAACUGGGCUCCUGAAGCAGCUGUGCCGAUUAACACAUUAACCCUCCCCACGCACUGACAUGGCACCCAGCUGUGUGCUGUACAGCCAGCUCUAGUGCAGGCUCAGAAAGGUUGUACUGAAAGCACUGACGGUACAGGGCUGUGCUCAGUGCUGGUUACAUGGCCACAGGAGAAGAGAACAGGGAUAGUGACGUUCCAGAUCACUGUUUGUGUAGGAACAAAUGUGUGUCCCUGCCUAAAGCCACCCAGAGUGUGUCCUGCUGUGAGUCCCUGGGGUUUGUGCUGGCGGUGAUGGGUGUUCACACCUGGUGGUCACAGAGAACCAGAGGGAUGUUUGCAAGGCUGCAGGUUAUCCUGCUUGUGCUGUUCAAAGGCACAGGUAGAUCAGGGCCAUCCCACUCCUUCCCACCAUUGAAGGUGCUGCUCUUCUCAAGUUCCUAUGGAAUUCCAUGA
rnacentral:lncRNA from 1 species